GACGAACGCUGGCGGCGUGCUUAACACAUGCAAGUCGAGCGAGACCUUCGGGUCUAGCGGCGGACGGGUGAGUAACGCGUGGGAACGUGCCCUUUUCUGCGGAAUAGCCUCGGGAAACUGAGCGUAAUACCGCAUACGCCCUUUGGGGGAAAGAUUUAUCGGAAAAGGAUCGGCCCGCGUUGGAUUAGGUAGUUGGUGGGGUAAUGGCCUACCAAGCCUACGAUCCAUAGCUGGUUUGAGAGGAUGAUCAGCCACACUGGGACUGAGACACGGCCCAGACUCCUACGGGAGGCAGCAGUGGGGAAUCUUAGACAAUGGGGGCAACCCUGAUCUAGCCAUGCCGCGUGAGUGAUGAAGGCCUUAGGGUUGUAAAGCUCUUUCAGCUGGGAAGAUAAUGACGGUACCAGCAGAAGAAGCCCCGGCUAACUCCGUG
rnacentral:rRNA from 1 species